CCCGAUGGAGGGGGAUAACUACUGGAAACGGUAGCUAAUACCGCAUAACGUCUUCGGACCAAAGUGGGGGACCUUCGGGCCUCACACCAUCGGAUGUGCCCAGAUGGGAUUAGCUAGUAGGUGGGGUAAUGGCUCACCUAGGCGACGAUCCCUAGCUGGUCUGAGAGGAUGACCAGCCACACUGGAACUGAGACACGGUCCAGACUCCUACGGGAGGCAGCAGUGGGGAAUAUUGCACAAUGGGCGCAAGCCUGAUGCAGCCAUGCCGCGUGUAUGAAGAAGGCCUUCGGGUUGUAAAGUACUUUCAGCGGGGAGGAAGGCGUUAAGGUUAAUAACCUUGGCGAUUGACGUUACCCGCAGAAGAAGCACCGGCUAACUCCGUGCCAGCAGCCGCGGUAAU
rnacentral:rRNA from 1 species